rnacentral:rRNA from 1 species
ACAUGCAAGUCGGACGCACUUUCGUUGAAUGAUUUAGAGAUGCUUGCAUCGAAGAUGAUUUUAACUAUAAAGUGAGUGGCGAACGGGUGAGUAACACGUGGGUAACCUGCCCAGAAGUGGGGGAUAACACCUGGAAACAGAUGCUAAUACCGCAUAAUAAAGUAAACCGCAUGGUUUCUUUUAAAAGAUGGCUUCGGCUAUCACUUCUGGAUGGACCCGCGGCGUAUUAGCUAGUUGGUGAGAUAAAGGCCCACCAAGGCUGUGAUACGUAGCCGACCUGAGAGGGUAAUCGGCCACAUUGGGACUGAGACACGGCCCAGACUCCUACGGGAGGCAGCAGUAGGGAAUCUUCCACAAUGGACGAAAGUCUGAUGGAGCAACGCCGCGUGAGUGAUGAAGGCUUUAGGGUCGUAAAACUCUGUUGUUGGAGAAGAACGUGUGUGAGAGUAACUGCUCAUGCAGUGACGGUAUCCAACCAGAAAGCCACGGCUAACUACGUG